GCAGAAAACUAUUAUUAUAGAUGAUAUAUAUAUAAGUAUAUAUCAAAAUGUUUAGUAAAUUAUUUAUAUUCUAACUUAAAAGGAUCAUGUAAGCUGUUAUGAAUGUUUUUUGUACUUCAGUUGACUUCUGUACUGAGAUUUGGGAAAGGCCGCUGACGUAGAAGAGGCCCUUCCUCGAAGUGGUGAAGAGCUGGCAAAUGAACACGAUAAAGGAGAUGGAGGAGAGGAUCACGGACAGGACCAUAAGAGCCUGCACUGACUGCAACCAAUCUGCAACACACGUGAGACCCCCCCGUCAAAGACCCACAAACAAACAGGUGGCGAUGAACAACAUGACCAGACUGACCAAAUGCAGCAGCAUCACGAACAUCAACAAGAAGGCCAUCGUAAUCUUUACUGUGAUCUUCUGUAGGGGGAAAAAAAAAUACAUAAAGGCACUGAGCUUGUUUGUUUCCAUCUAACUUCUGUUGCAGCUCCUCGCCCCAAGGGACGAGCAGCGAGUCUACCCUCACGUUCCUUUACAUAUCUAUCAUCUUUCCACCAAACGAAUAGUAUACUUUGGCCUGUGCAAGUUCAACUGUCUGAAGAAGCAUGCGUUUUAAAAGCGUUGUAUAAACACCA